rnacentral:tRNA from 1 species
AAGGUAUUAGUAAAUCAAUUACAUAACUUUGUCAAAGUUAAAUUAUAAGUUUGCCCUUAUAUACCUUG